AGUGAACGCUGGCGGCGUGCCUAAUACAUGCAAGUCGAACGGAGAUUAAGUAGCUUGCUAUUUAAUCUUAGUGGCGCACGGGUGAGUAAUAUAUAGCUAACUUGCCCAUUACUAAGGGACAACAGUUGGAAACGACUGCUAAUACCUUAUACUCCGUAUCUAUAUAAGUAGAUACGGGAAAGUUUUUCGGUAAUGGAUAGGGCUAUAUCGUAUCAGCUAGUUGGUAAGGUAAUGGCUUACCAAGGCUAUGACGCGUAACCGGUCUGAGAGGAUGAUCAGUAACAUUGAAACUGAGACACGUCCCAGACUCCUCGGGGAGGAAGAGUAAGGGAUAAUUGUCCAAUGGGGGAAACCCGGAAGCACCACGGCGGCUGGGAGGUGACAACUUUCGGGAGCUUAAAUUCUUUUUCUGGGAAAGAAUUAUGACGGUACCCAAGGAAUAAGCACCGGCUAACUCCGUG
rnacentral:rRNA from 1 species